GCUGGGUCCUGGGAACAGCAGCGGUGAUGUCAUUAAGCUCCGCCUGUGCCCCAAGCCGGUGCCCGGAGCUGGAGCUAACGGAGGAGAUUAAAGGAGAUCCCUGCCACGGACCGGGACAAGGGUAAGGGGCCAGGAGCUGCCUGAGGAAAUCCCGUGUCGGAGAAGGUCUCUGAACGGUGCUGUGGAGCUGAAGAUAUUCCGCAGGAACUGAGAGAAAGAAACCUCAGAAGGUUCAUCAUUGUCCUCCCUAUAUUCCUGGCAACAUAAAUCAGGGUGUGUA